rnacentral:lncRNA from 1 species
UGCCUCAAUUCACAAACAACCCAGACAAUAGAGUUUUUUAAUUUUUUUAAUCUCAACCGAAAUUACUUGUUGGUUCCUCGUUCUGUUCUGUUUUACUAUGUUUUUUUGCUUUCUCUUUUCCUUCUCUUUGUGCCUUAAACUUUUCUCUCUAUUUUUUUAAUCUCAAGCGUAUCCUACAAUUUUAUUUCAUCCAUGUUUUUACACAAGUGGAGGCAAAAAUCCUUUGAAUCUGUGCAUCCAUUGCAUCCACAAACAUUUUGCACAGAUUGUGGUUUACAUUAGUUAUUUAACUUUCAAACAAGUUACAAAGAGAUCAAUUGUGAAAUGAACUUAGUAUAUACCUAAAGCCCAACUCUGCACGACAGACCAAAAGCAAACCUUCGCUCAAACACAAGAAGCUCUAGAAGCCGUGAUCAGAAACCUUCGCUCAAACCACAAUUUCUUUCCCAGAUUUUCAACCCCAACCUGCAGUAACAAAGACCUUUCCAGAUUUUCAACCCCAAUCAUCAGCAUCCACCCUAAGACCUUUACCAACAAGCAAUCAAAAGCCGUAGAGAAAACUAAGAAGCAGAACCCCUAAUUCAAGAGGCCAAUCCAAACCGCAAACACUAUCCAUUUCGUCAUCCACCUGUAGAGAAACGAAACCAAAAACCCAAGGCAGAGAAACAGAACCAAAAACAGAUCCACUGGCUACGCCCUCGUCGCACUGUCACUAUGCUCUCAUCGCCAUCGCACCAUCGUCGUUGCUCUCUCGCCGCACCGUCACUGCGCUCUCACCGCCAUCGCAGCACUGUUGCUGCUCUCUAGCCGCACCGUUGUGUGCACUCACCGCCAUCGUAACAUCGUCGAGAAAAAGGAGAAUGAACAAGGUUUCAAUGUUGAAGAGGAAAAGAAACGAGAAAACCCUAGAUCCGAAGGAUUGUUUGGUGAAGGUUAGAGAUUGGGGUUGUAUGGUGGUUUAAUCGCUGAAAUGGUCCGAUUAACCGGUGGAAAAGGAUGGAAACGAAGAUUUAAUCGGUGUAAAUGGUGGAUCUGACUUACGGUGAAGGUUCUGUGAUGGUGGAUCUGUGCGAGUGAAGUUAUGGCUGGUGUAGGGGAGAGGAGACUCGCGUGCAUAGGAGAGGAGAAGAGGCAUUUGGGAGAAAACUUUCCUCUUUCAACACCCAGAGGCUAGGUUAUCCUGGCUAGAAAAGACUUUUAUGCCUCGGUCCAUCUGCCAACUGAGGUCGCAUCUCUGUCCUAUGAGGUUUAUGCCUUGGUCCACCCUGCCAACCUAGAUAGUAUUCUCUUUAGACACAGGUUGCUUAACAACCGAGACUUAUAGUGUUUUAAAAUUACGAGAUUGCCAUCGCGUUUUGAUACGCUUCGGUUCCAGAAAAACUGAAGCGUAAUGUGCGGGUUAAAAAAUGAUGUUAAUCUGAAGACAAUUCAAAAUAAUAAUGAAAAGUACAAUAUAAUCCAAAUGUCAUCCAAAAACAAAUACAAAAAACAUACAAAAAAACCUACUCCGUGAAGAAUUUAAGUGAAGAAGUAAGAGUGACAACACCGUGAGAGCAAGUUCCGUGAGAGUGAUUUGUGAGUAGAUGUUACUUUUUUGGUAUACAUAGUGAGUGAAGAGAGUAUUUUAUUUUUUAGGAUUUCAUAAAUAAAAUAAUAAAUUGAAAAAAUAAAAUUAGGUAGGUAGGUUGGCAGGCCAACCCGGCCCACUACGGAUUCAACCCGCAUGAGCCGAGUUUAAAUGAACUGGGUUGAAAUCGGACACACAAAAAAGAAAAUUAAUUUUGUCAAAUCCAACCCGAUCCGAACUCGUAGUAAGCUAGGUUGACUCGCGGAUUGUGACCCAUUUUGACGGCUCUAAUAUUAGUUUAUGUUUUAAAUUUAUUCUCAAAAUAAUUAUAUUCACUCAAAAAAGUAAAAAAUAUGUUAAAAAUACUCUUACUUUAUUAAAACUGUUUUAAGAAAUCUUGGUUUAUUUAUUACAAGUAUCGUGAAAUGGAGGUAACCCUGUUCUUUACCAUUAUUAUAUUCUCUCGUUACAAAAUUACUGUAGAUUUGAACUUUUUAUAUACAGAAAUACUAGUAAAAGAUUAAAUAAAUAAAAAAUAGAUAGGACGGGGGUUUGGCCGCAGUUAUUUUCUAUUUAUAUAUGUAAAAUAUAUUUUUUUUUUUUAAAAGUAAAACUCAGAAAAACUAUAUUAUUCUCUGACAUUAUUUCAAAGUCGCUUAAUAAUAUAAUCUAUAAUUAAUUUUAAUAAAAUAAUAUAACGUAGUAACUUUGGAUCAAAUAUAUUAAUUAAUCAAUUACAAUUUGAAAGAUAUUUAUAUUCUAAUCAAAUAUACAUUUAAAAAUAUUUAGUCUAGGGUAAUUUGUAUUUCAUUGGAAAUGCACAACAUUUUCUUUACAUCUAUAACACAAUCAUUUCAUAAUAUUCUGAAAUUAUUUUGGAGUUAUAUAUUGCACUUCCAUGACAUAAAAAUAAUCCAAUUCACUACUAAGAUUCCAAUGUUAUUUUACCUUUUUGCUUAAAAAUAUUGGUAAAAUUUUCAAGUUUUGAAAAUAUAAUAGAUAAAUAAGUAAAAUUAUGUGGACUUAUAAGAUAAUUUGGCAGAGUAAAUAUUAUUUCUAAACUAUCAGAAUUGGAGUAUUAGGUAACCAAAUUAUAUUAAUGACAUACAAAAUAAUAAUCAAAUACUUUAUUUCCAUAAUAAAAUAGGUGUAAAUGGAUUAAUGAAAUCCUCCUAUUUAAAUUACUCUGACCAUGUAGUUGCUUUAAGAAAAAAACACAAAACUUAUCUUUCCACAUAAGAAAUAAUUAGCUUUUUAAUCUUAUUUGAAGCUAAAAAGAAUUUUCCAGUCAUAGGUGAAAUUAUAAAAUCAUAUAUAUAUAAUUACUCACUUUUUUUCAUUACUUCUCCCAAUUUGUACAACACUUGAUAAACAUAGAAGAAGAACAAUGAUCAAUAAUUGUUGAUUGCAUAAAGAAUGUAACCAGCGUUAAGACUUAUGAUGAUUUAAUAUAAUCUAAAUAUAUUAAAACUCAAGUUAAAGUUUUGAUAUUAACAAUAAAAUAUUGAAUAAGUUACAUGUUCUCAUAAAACAUUAUGAUUAAUAACAUAAAACAUUAUGAUUAAUAACACAUUGAUACAAGGAAAAAGCCUUCAUGAGAGAAGAUUUUGUGCUACACACGUGUACAAAUAUAGGCAUGGAAGUCAAUUACAAUAUUGCAUACAUUAGUAUAGUCAAGAGAAAUGACAUUGGUUCUUUUUUCUUAAAGGCACUGAUUCUACAACCGAAGCAUAUUUAGGUGAAGUAAAAAAGAUAGGCUUUAUGUCUCGGGUUUUGAACCAAGUCAAAAAGGUUCGAAUUCUGCCUCAAUUCGCAGACAACCGAGGCAGUAGAGUGUUUUUAAUUUUUUUAAUCUCAACCGAAAUCACUUGUUGGUUCCUUGUUCUGUUAUGUUUUUCUAUGUUCUUUUGCUUUCUCUUUUCCUUCUCUUUGUGCCUUAAACUUUUCUCUCUAUUUUUUAAUCUCAAGCUUACCUUGCAAUUUUAUUUCAUCCAUGUUUUUACACAAGUGGGGGCAAAAUUCCUUUGAAUCUGUGCAUCCAUUGCAUCCACAAACAUUCUGCACAAAUUGUGGUUUACAUCAGUUAUUUAACUCUCAAACAAGUUACAAAGAGAUCAAUUGCGAAAUGAACUUAGUUUAUACCUAGAGCCUAACUCUACAGGACAGACCAGAAGCAAACCUUCGCUCAAACACAAGAAGCUCUAGAAGUCGUGAUCAGAAACCUUUACUUAAACCACAAUUUCUUUCCCAGAUUUUCAACCCCAACCUGCAGUAACAAAGACCUUUCCAGAUUUUCA